rnacentral:rRNA from 1 species
CGUUAACGAACGAGACCUUAACCUGCUAAAUAGCUAGGCCUAACAUUGUUAGGUCGCCAGCUUCUUAGAGGGACUAUCGGUGUUUAACCGAUGGAAGUUUGAGGCAAUAACAGGUCUGUGAUGCCCUUAGAUGUUCUGGGCCGCACGCGCGCUACACUGAUCAAGUCAACGAGUUUACAACCUUGGCCGGAAGGUCUGGGUAAUCUUUUGAAACUUGAUCGUGCUGGGGAUAGUCCAUUGCAAUUAUUGGACUUCAACGAGGAAUCCCUAGUAAGCGCAAGUCAUCAGCUUGCGUUGAUUACGUCCCUGCCCUUUGUACACACCGCCCGUCGCUACUACCGAUUGAAUGGCU